AUUGAACGCUGGCGGCAGGCUUAACACAUGCAAGUCUAGCGAGCGGCGGACGGGUGAGUAAUGUCUGGGAAACUGCCUGAUGGAGGGGGAUCACUACUGGACACGGUAGCUACUACCGCAUACCAUCAGAUGUGCCCAGAUGGGAUUGGCUAGUAGGUGGGGUAAUGGCUCACCUAGGCCACGAUCCCUAGCUGGUCUGAGAGGAUGACCAGCACCACGGGAAUGGAGACACGGUCCAGACUCCGAGGGGAGGCAGCAGGGGGGAAUAUUGCACAAUGGGCGCAAGCCUGAUGCAGCCAUGCCGUUUGUGUGAAGAAGGCCUUCGGGUUGUAAAGCACUUUGAGCGAGGAGGCGUUACUCGCAGAAGAAGCACCGGCUAACUCCGUGCCAGCAGCCGCGGUAAUA
rnacentral:rRNA from 1 species